rnacentral:lncRNA from 1 species
UUUUCUUGAUUGCCAAGAAAGUUUGAACCUUAUGUAGCCUCUCUGAUUAUUUUUUGUUUUGUUUUUUUUGCUGCGCUUACUACUGGAGCUAGGUGGGUUUCUAUAUGGACCCAGAUAUUUGCCUUUCGGGAUGUCUAGUUUGCCGACACAAAGUCGUACUUGAAGUUUCAGAUAUGAUUUACCUUGCGAGUAUAUUCAUUAGCCUAAUGUAUAGUUAAACAGCUGCAUAAAAUACAACAAAAGUAAGUAACAGCUAAUUAAUCGAAGCCCCCCCCUGGCUACCAUUUCAUUCUUGUUUCUAGCUAGUGACGAACUUGAGAUUAGACCCUUAAAAAAUGAAGAGAAAUUGAGCCAGUCAUUUUUGGAUUCUUUCGUGUAAUUAACUAAAUUAAGUGGAAUGCCGACACCGAUCAUGUACUUUUAACUUCAUGGUAAGUAAGGCUCUCCCAACUACGCACACAGCAAUGGCAUCACGCUACGUACUUAAAGAUCAUGUGGGCUUCCCAGUACCUACUUUGCUUCUGGAAAUAGAUGUGUUACAUAUCUAAUGAGCAGCGAGCCAGAGAGAGAUUCGGAUAAACAAGACACUGAUUGAGCAAGAAAGAGCAUUGAACAUAUCUUCUGCAUCUCAUAACACAACUCUCUGCUUCUGGAUCAUCUAGCUAACCCCCACCACAGAAUAGUGAGAAUACCAUAUAACCGAGUAACUCUUCCUUGGUUUUGGAUGUGGAUUUGACCCAAUUUUGAUUCUGUUCCAACCUUUGGUCUUUCCUUCUUCUUCUUCCUCCUCUUCUUUUAAUUGAUCAUCAAGAAGGAACCAAAUGUUUGGUUGGAAUCUUGAUUCCCGGUCUCUGUUACUACUGCAUCCCAUUUUCAUGAAGUUGCACAAGGAUCGACUCUGACCAACAAGAUAACUCGGAAGAUUGGAGUCCAUCGCUUACUAGAAGAGUCUCGGGUGCUCAUGCACUGCUGAUGAAGCGUCUCUUUUACCUCCGCCCUUUCACUCACCUUCAAUUCACCGUUUCUCUCAGCACCUCAUGCAGCUGAAAAUGCAGAGGAAUAGCCGGCGGGAGUGGUGGCGUGGCCGGUUGGGGGCAGUGGAACCAACUGAGGAGGUUCCGAAGGCUCGAUCAACAAGUGGCUGCGCAUAACCACACUCAGCGAUGGGACAUGUGGACAGAGUUGGAGAAGUUUAUUCUAGUCACAUAUAUGCCUAUUGAAAUUUGUUUUCUCCCUUAAUUUUCAUAUGUAUAGGUGACUAGGUGUUGAUCGGUUCUUAGAGAAUUCUGCAUUUCAAUUUCCAUAUUCCAUGUUUCCCUGGACACCGCUAUAUAUAUUUGCCUGCUAGCUAGCUAG